CCUACGGGAGGCAGCAGUGGGGAAUAUUGGGCAAUGGGCGCAAGCCUGACCCAGCAACGCCGCGUGAAGGAAGAAGGCUCUCGGGUUGUAAACCUCGUUUAAGAGGGAAGAGCAGAAGACGGUACCUCUUGAAUAAGCCAUGGCUAACUACGUGCCAGCAGCCGCGGUAAUACGUAGGUGGCAAGCGUUGUCCGGAUUUACUGGGUGUAAAGGGCGUGCAGGCGGAGAGACAAGUCAGAUGUGAAAUCCACGGGCUCAACCCGUGAACUGCAUUUGAAACUGUUUCCCUUGAGUGUCGGAGAGGUAAUCGGAAUUCCUUGUGUAGCGGUGAAAUGCGUAGAUAUAAGGAAGAACACCAGUGGCGAAGGCGGAUUACUGGACUAUAACUGACGGUGAGGCGCGAAAGCGUGGGGAGCAAACAGGAUUAGAUACCCUAGUAGUC
rnacentral:rRNA from 1 species